UACGUAGGGUGCAAGCGUUGUCCGGAAUUAUUGGGCGUAAAGAGCUUGUAGGCGGUUUGUCGCGUCUGCUGUGAAAUUUCGGGGCUCAACCCCGAACUUGCAGUGGGUACGGGCAGACUAGAGUGUGGUAGGGGAGACUGGAAUUCCUGGUGUAGCGGUGAAAUGCGCAGAUAUCAGGAGGAACACCGAUGGCGAAGGCAGGUCUCUGGGCCGAAUACUGACGUGAGGAGCGAAAGCGUGGGGAGCGAACAGG
rnacentral:rRNA from 1 species